GUCAGAAUCUGGUAAAAGACCAGACGAGGACCAUCCAACAAAAGAAUUUGUCAGUGUAAACAAAGAACUGAAGGAGAAACCAGAGACAACUCCAGUUCCAGAAUUAUUUGUUGAACCUCCCAAGAAAGAAGUGCAUCCAAUUGAGGUUCUUACAGUGGAAGAACAAGUAGAAGUUAUCACAAAAGAAAUUAUCGUAACAACUGAACCUCCAACAGAAAAGG
rnacentral:misc_RNA from 1 species